ACGUAGGUGGCAAGCGUUAUCCGGAAUUAUUGAGCGUAAAGCGCGCGUAGGCGGUUUUUUAAGUCUGAAGGGAAAGCAGACGGCUCAACCGUGGAGGGACAUUGGAAACUGGAAAACUUGAGUGCAGAAGAGGAAAGUGGAAUUCAAUGUGUAGCGGUGAAAUGCGCAGAGAUAUGGAGGAACACCUGUGGCGAAGGCGGCUGUCUGGUCUGCAACUGACGCUGAGGCUCGAAAGCAUGGGUAGCAAACAU
rnacentral:rRNA from 1 species